UACGUAGGGGCCGAGCGUUGUCCGGAGUUAUUGGGCGUAAAGCGCGCGCAGGCGGCCUCGCGCGCCCGACGUGAAAGCCCCCGGCUUAACCGGGGAGGGUCGUUGGGGACGGCGGGGCUUGAGGGCGGGAGAGGUCGGUGGAAUUCCCGGGGUAGUGGUGAAAUGCGUAGAGAUCGGGAGGAACACCUGUGGCGAAGGCGGCCGACUGGGCCGACCCUGACGCUGAGGCGCGAAGGCGUGGGGAGCGAACGGG
rnacentral:rRNA from 1 species